rnacentral:lncRNA from 1 species
GGAAUAUUACAAAAUUCUUGGACAUGUCUUGACCAUUUAAUACCAGAUAGAUAUUUAGUUCUUUGGGAAAACAUAAGCCCUUUUGUAUUAAAAAGUUUUUUUUACAAAAAAAUAUAUUAUAACUUAUAUUGACCCCUCAUAUAAGGGAUAUUUAUAACAUUAAGGGAUUGUUUUAAACCUGAUUAUGACUUGGAUGGAGAAUUGUCUCAUUGUCAGUCACACAUACAUAGACCAGAUUUAAUUAUUCAAUUAUUUCUUAGUGAACAGGGAAA